AAGAAAGUGGAGAAGUUAUAUAUUAAAUUGUGAACACACCUACUGCCUUUGUAAUUUGUUAUUAAAAACAAGAAAAAAAACCAGUAGAAAAAAUGACAGGAGACAAUUCACCAAAAAAAAAAAAAAAAAAAAAAAAUGCAGCUGGUUAAUAACAAUUGGGAGAAAAAUUCAGCCCUAAAAAAGCCUACUAGGGCUUCCCUGGUGGCGCAGUGGUUGAGAGUCCGCCUGCCGAUGCAGGUGCAUGCCGGGAAGAUCCCACAUGCCGUGGAGCUGCUGGACCCGUGAGCCAUGGCCGCUGAGCCUGCACGUCCGGAGCCUGUGCUCCGCAACGGGAGAGGCCACAACAGUGCGAGGCCCGCGUACCACACACACACAAAAAAGCCUACUAGUUUCUGAGGAACUCCUUAAUUCCAAGCCUCCUUUUCAAUGACGUGUGCCAUCAGAUCAGCCAAGCUGAGGGCGCUACAGUCACCACCCUAAGAUGAGGAAGACCAGCCUUGGCAAGCACAAGUGAGAAAGCCAGGCAGAGAGAAGAAAUAAACCUGGUUUAAAGAAUGAGCAUCCCAGGACUUCCCUGGUGGCGCAGUGGUAAAGAAUCCGCCUGCCAAUGCAGGGGACACAGGUUCGAGGUCCGGGAAGAUCCCACAUGCCGCGGAGCAACUAAGCCCGUGUGCCACAACCACUGAGCCUGCGUUCUAAAGCCCGCAAGCCACAACUACUGAGCCCAUGUGCCACAACUACUGAAGCCCACGCACCUAGAGCCCAUGCUCCACCACAAGAGAAGCCACCGUAAUGAGAAGCCCACGCACCACAACGAAGAGUAGCCCCCUGCUCACUGCAACUAGAGAAAGCCCGCGUGCAGCAACAAAGAGCCAAUGCAGACAUAAAUAAAUAAAUAAAUAAACAAAUAAAUAAAAAAGAAUGAGCAUCUGUGGUUAUGUUACAGAACAACUAGCACUGGCAGCUGAAAAGAUAUGUACCUAGGACAUCUAUUUUGGCUAUUCCUUUAUUAUAAUAUGAGCAAAGACUACAAAGCUGUAACAACGGCUGCUUAAACACAACUAGUAUGAAAAACGCAGGCAAAAAGAAAAAAAGGUCUGUAACAAAAUUAUCAUUUAGGUCCCAGAAAGUAAAAAUUACUCUGAGCUAAGGUUUUCUCUUCUCCACUUUCCUUAGUUAUGUGACAUUUUCUAGGAAAAAAAAGUCUCUUUCAUUGACAGUCUUCCUGGUCACCAUAUUUUUUUCUUCCAGUUUUAAUGAGAUACAACUGACAUACAGCACUGCUUAAGGUUCAGUUGUACAACAUAAUGAUUUAACUUAAGUACAUCAUGAAAUGAUUACAGUAAGUUUACCACAUCCAUCAUCCCAUAAAGAUACAAAAUUUAAAAAUGUUUUCCUUGUGUUGCGAACCCAGGAUUUGCUCUCCUAACAACUUUCACAUAUAACAUACAGCAAUGUUAAUGAUAUUAAUCAUGCUGUACAUGACACCCUUAGUACUUAUUUAUUUUAUAACUGGAAGUUUGUACCUCUGACCACCUUCAUCCAAUUCCUUUUUAAACUACUUUGGUACCUUGACCUAGAGUCCCAAUAUAUCUACUGAAAUGCAUUUGAAAAAGGUUA